rnacentral:snRNA from 1 species
CCACUUACUUGGCAGGGGAAAUACCAUGACCAAUCAGGUGGCUUUCCUGGUUGCAGGGGAAACUACCCUGCACUUUUUUGGCAGGGUACCUUGACUGAGGUAAGGCAUAGUUAGUCUUCCACUUUCACUUCCAGUGGGAAGACCUUGGUUUUACGCCAACUGUAUGGAAAUGGGAGAUUCCUCCCU